UGGGGAAUCUUGCGCAAUGGGGGAAACCUUGACGCAGCAACGCCGCGUGGGUGAUGAAGGCCUUCGGGUCGUAAAGCCCUGUCAGGUGGGAAGAAACAUGUCGGUGCUAAUAUCACCGACGUUUGACGGUACCGCCGGAGGAAGCACCGGCUAACUCCGUGCCAGCAGCCGCGGUAAUACGGAGGGUGCACGCGUUGUUCGGAAUUACUGGGCGUAAAGCGCGUGUAGGCGGUCGGGCAAGUCAGAUGUGAAAGCCUUCCGCUCAACGGAAGAAGUGCAUUUGAAACUACCCGGCUGGAGUACGGGAGAGGAGAGUGGAAUUCCCGGUGUAGAGGUGAAAUUCGUAGAUAUCGGGAGGAACACCAGUGGCGAAGGCGGCUCUCUGGUCCGAUACUGACGCUGAGACGCGAAAGCGUGGGGAGCAAACAGGAUUAGAUACCCUGGUAGUCCACGCCGUAAACGAUGGGCACUAGGUGUAGGAGGUAUUGACCCCUUCUGUGCCGAAGUUAACGCAUUAAGUGCCCCGCCUGGGGAGUACGGCCGCAAGGUUA
rnacentral:rRNA from 1 species